rnacentral:sRNA from 1 species
AAGUGAAGUUCAAGAUGGUUGUA